UGGUGUCUCAUCAGAAGGAAGAAUUGUGAAUGGAUUGGAUUGGUAUCCAUACAAUGCUGCAACUAGUGUCGUUGUUAUGGCAAUAUGAUAAGUGGUGUUGCACUUCCACUCUGCCAAUAAAUGCCCCUUAAACUAAGAAGUUUAUUGGUGGUGUGUCAUGUACCUUAGGUACCCUUCUAAACGCUGUUUCAGCCUCUCUGUUUGACCAAUAGACUGAGGAUGGUAUGCAAUAGUGAAUGUAAUAGAGGUUCCCAACAGCCUGAAAAAUUCUUUCCGGAAAACACUUGUAAAAAUUUUGUCCCUAUCAGUGACAAUGGACAAGGGGACCCCAUGAAGUUUAAAAAUGUUAUCUAAGAAAAUUUUGGCAACUGAAGAGGCAGUAAAAGGAUGUGUGAGACCCAGGAAAUGUCCAUACUUGGUGAAUCUACAAACUACCACCAAGACGACAACUUUAUCUCCUAAUUUAGGCAGCUGUUCAAUGAAGUCCAUUUAGAUAUGCUGCCAAGCCUGAGAAGGAAUUGGAAGUGGUUGCAACGAUCCUGGUAGAGCACAAUGUUCACAAUGUUCUCCUUUACAUCUAGCACAUACCACACUUUUUAAUCUGGCUCAUUUUUUAAGUCCUUUCCUAUACAAGAUUUUGUAAUCCAAACCAAGCAACUUUGAAAUACCCUUUAGCUGUAAAUUAGUGUGCAGCUUUUGUUCCAAGAGAAAUUUGAUACUUUCAUGGCCAGUUUUAAUAGAAAAUUUGCCUUGCUCAAAGUAGUGCUGCCAUUUUGUGACAGCAAAAGUGAUGGCCAGGAGCUCUUUUUCAUAUGCUG
rnacentral:misc_RNA from 1 species